rnacentral:rRNA from 1 species
UACGUAGGUGGCAAGCGUUGUCCGGAAUUAUUGGGCGUAAAGCGCGCGCAGGCGGUCCUUUAAGUCUGAUGUGAAAGCCCACGGCUCAACCGUGGAGGGUCAUUGGAAACUGGGGGACUUGAGUGCAGGAGAGGGUAGUGGAAUUCCCGGUGUAGUGGUGAAAUGCGUAGAUAUCGGGAGGAACACCAGUGGCGAAGGCGACUACCUGGCCUGUUCUUGACGCUGAGGCGCGAAAGCUAGGGGAGCAAACGGG